GUUUUAAAAUUGAUGCAAUAGUAUGCUUGUGGUACACACAAAAUAACUUACUCUUUUACGACACUAUGUUUUGUUUGUUUGUUUUGCGGAUGUGUGUUUUGUUUUGCUUUGCAGUAGUGGGGAUGGAACCCAGGGCCUCAUGCAUGCUGGGCAAGUGCUUUACCACAUCUUCAUCCCCCAUCAUAUGAAUUCUAGCAAAAGCAUACAGUCAUUUAACCAUAACUACAGUCGAAAUCUUGACAUUUCAUCACUUAAAAAUCUCCCCUUGAUCUUUGUAGGCAACCCUUCCCUCCUUAUCUUUGGCAACCUCAGAUCUAUUUUUUUUUGAUCCCUACAAUUUUGUCUUUUCCAGAAUAUCAUAUAAAUGAGAUUUUUUAAAUGUAGUUUUUUUUAGACUUUCUCCCACUUAGCACAGUGCACUUGAGUCAUCCUUGUCACAAGUAUCAGCAGGUGAUUGCUUUCGGUUGCUGAGUGGUAUUCCACCAUAUAGACAUACUAAAGUGUGUUUUUCCAUA
rnacentral:lncRNA from 1 species